UUUGAUAUUUUCUAGGAAAUAUUUUUCAUUCACCAACGUAACAAUAUAAAAUAUUUUCCAGUCACCAACCAAACAUGAGAAAAUAAGUUGGAAACCAACUUGUUCUCCAAGAAAACAUUUUCUAGGAACACAUUUUUCAUGAAAAACAUUUUCCCUCCUAUCAAACACACCCUUAAUUUCAAUUGAUACAAUAUCGAGAUGCAAAAAUCAAAAUUCUAACACAAAGAAUAAGAAACAAAGAUAAACAAAAGAUAAAAGGAUAGAAUAAGAGACACGAGAUAGAAAACAAUUGAGAAUAAUGAUUAUAGAUCAAUCAAUACCCCCAAUUGACUUGAUUCCACAAAGCACCAAUCCUAUAAAAGUAAGACACGGGAAUGAGACUAAUAGACAAUCAGGAAUAUAUCAAAAUCAAGACCACAUAUUUAAGAACACCAAAUAAAUACCUAUAUUAUAGAGAUAACCCUCAAGAGGAAUGAUUUCCUCCAGCAACAACUAUGGCCUUAGACUCAAACCCCCUCAAGAGUAUACUCAAUUCAUAAGAAUUCAAUAUAUCAAAAUUAAUAAUCUAUUUAAUUAAAAUGAUAUAGUGUAGUAUUUAUACUAUACUAGACUUGGAAUAAACAUUAAUAAUGAUUAUUACAAAAAUAUCCUUGAUGAAUUAAGAGUCUUUUUAGUCAAGACGUUUGCAUUUUAAGAAAGUCAUUAUGAAUUAAUAGCAUCUUUCUCGAAUUAGAGUCAAUUGUAGUUCCAAUCUCAUAGUGUUAAGAGCUAAUUACAUUUUAUUCCUAUUCAUUUCCAAAUCACAUAAAUCUCUUAAAAUUUAAGGAUUUCGAAUACAUCACUCAACGUCUCGAUACAUUACCUUUGUUGAUACAAGACAUACUUGUCCUGAUACAUACGUCCAAAUACAUCACAUUCCGAUGUAAGAAAAGUUUCUUGCUUCUGGUCCAAGUUUACUUGUGGCCCAAAUUUACUUGUGAGUCAAGUCCCUUAUUUACUUGUGACCCAAGUCCCUUAUUUAAAUAAGAUUUAUAUAAGGUAAAAAUAUUGAUUUUAAAGUCUUAGUUUUAGGACUUUUAAUAUAGUUCAAAUAAGAAAAAUAUUUAAUAACUAUAAGUUUAGUUACAUUUCUUGUCCUAAGUACUAGCAUAAUUAAAAGACAAUUAUUUGAGUAAAAUAGUAAAUGACAAUUUUGUCUGUUGUAAAAUCUUUUAAUGAAGGGUAAUUAGUUCAAUCAACCUUAGACAUUCAUGCUAUUCCAAACACAUCUCCAACUCCAACAUUAAAAUUUUCAAAUAAGGUGAAUAAUAUUACGUUUCAUGCCCACUAAGCUUUAAAACCUUUUCGUAUAGGGAAAAUACAUAAAAAAAACCUCUUGAACUUGGCGCGAGAACUUACUUUAGUACUUAAACUACACAGGUGCUUAUAUAACCCCCUUAACAUCUUUUAUGUGAAUUAUUUUAAACCCUUCGAACACCAGCCUUGUGCGCGUGUUGUUACAGCUUAGAACGGCGCGUUAGUCAUCUUUUAACAUUUUUUAAAAAUUAAAUAUGCCCCUCCAACGGUAAUAUCCGAUCCAUUACCCAUUUGAAGAACAAUCUUCACUUUUUAAGAACCCUAAUUACCUCUUCUCCCUCACCAACCCAAUCAUCCAAAAAUGGUGACCUAAUUUAUUUUUUUUCUCAAAUCUUAGCUCUUCAAACCUAAUAGUUGAAUCUUUGAAGGAAUUAUUGUUCUUCAAAAAUGUAAGAUUCAAACUUAUUCUUCUUCAUCUAUUAUUUUGAUUUUUGUUUCCUCACUUUAAAAUGGUGACCUAAUUUAUUAUAUUUUUCUUGAUUUUUUUCAAAUCUUAGCUCUUCAAACCUAAAAGUUGAAUCUUUGAAGGAAUUAUUGUUCUUCAAAAAUGUAAGAUUCAAACUUAUUCUUCUUCAUCUAUUAUUUUGAUUUUUGUUUCCUCUCUUUUCAGUUUUUCCAAUUGUUUAUCAGUUUUUCAAGAUUGUCGUUACUUCUUGAACAAUUUUGUAGCACACAAUGCGAUCAAUUACUUCGCGCUAACGAAAGAAAAAUCUUUAGAUUAGGUCUUGUAGAUUUGAGAGAAUGAGAAUCGGGCUUAGAGAUUUAGGGAUAUUUGUUUAGUAUUGGGUCGGGUUGUAUUUUGGGAACGGGUGAAUUAUAUAAAAUGGGUAAGAUAUUUUUUAAACCCUUAGCGACGUGGACCAAUGAAAAUGCGCGUGUGUAACAAUGCUCAACCUUCAACUGGGCUGGUGUUCAGAGGGUUGAAAAUAAUUCACAUCAAAUAUGUUAAGGGGGGUAUAUAAAUACCCGUGUAGUUUAAGUACUAAAGUAAAUUUUCGUGCCAAGUUCAGGGGGGGUUUUAUGUAUUUUCCCUUUCGUAUAUAAUAAAUAUUUUUCAAGAAUCACUAGUUAUACUCGAAAUUAUAUUUAGCUUAAAUGUGAAGAAAUAAUUAGCUAACUUGAAUCAUUUAUUAAAUAAUUAUAAAAAUUGAAACAUAUAAAAAAUAAUUUAAAUAUCAAUCAUAAAAUUGCUAUUUAUUUUUAUCUUAAACCAAACACUAAGCUUAUACUAGGAGCGAAGUAAAUACUACUUUGUUGGAACAUACAUAUCAUCAAGUAACAUGUUAUUAUAUGGUUUUGUAUUUAAGUAGAAAACGAGUUUAAUUGUAUUAUAGCAUAUUAUAUCUUUUAGGAGACUUUUUGUCGACAUUAGUUAUUCUUAUUAAUUCUCCUAAUACAUCUUACCAUGUAUUUUUCUCUUACCAUAUAUUUAGGGGUCCAUAAAUUUUUACCUGUUAAUAUAUAUUUCCUCUUAUCAUAUAUUUUAGGAGUGUUCGUUCUUACCAUAUAUUUUAAGAGUCAAUAUCAUAAAUAUAAUUAAAUAAUAAUUUGAGAAAAAUAGUAAAUAAGAAUUUUUUCUAUAGAAAAGUCUUUGAAAGAGGGAAAAAAGUUCAUCAACGUUUCUAGAUACUAUAAAUAACAUAUGAAGAGAAAAUUAAAGUGUUUUAUAGUAGGAUAAAAUGUAGGAUAGUUGGGUGUUCAUAACACGAAGACAAAAAUAAUCUAGGACACAUGUACUUGUGUUUAAAAUUUAUUUACAUCGAAAGAAUAGUUCAAGACAAACCUGAUGGCGAUAAUCGUAAUGGAAAGUUUUCUUCGUUAUAUGAAGAUUCUAUAUGCGUAUCCACACCGAGAACAACAUUUACUAUCAACUCUGAAUCAACAUACUUUGUGCAAGUUAGAGGGUUACAAUAACCUAAAGAAUUAACAAAUCAAUGAAUGAUCACAUAAAAUUUUAUUUUUAAAAUACGAUUUUCUAAGAUGGAGUGAAAAAUCAAUGCAUCAUCGAGUUUGACUUGAUAAUUUGAAAAAUAAUUCGAGCAAGUGGUCAUUGAUGGAUAAGAUGAUUAUUUCUUAACAUCAACUCUUUGAUCAUACUAACAAAGAAGAACAAAAAUAAAUAAAAUGAAGAUUCAAUUUUUAAUAACCUCAUGACCACAAGCAUUCAUAAUUUGAUCCGAGGCUACCAACUUUAACAUGUAGUACAUAUAAUUGUUUAUGUGCUAGAAUUUAAUUUGGGCUCGACUAUAUAUAACUCUAUUAAUUUAGGUCAAGUAGUUAGUUUUUUUUUAUGUUUUCCACCCAAUGUCCGGAGUCCACAUUGGAGCGCUGACUGAAUUCAAAUUGCACACUUCAGAGCCCAUUCCUUAUUAGGUUAAGAAAAACGUAAUUUAAAUUUAAAUUAUUUUAACCUAAUGAAAUUGAAUAAUAACAAGGAGAUAAUAAUUAGAAGUCUUUUUCUUAAUUCUUCUUUCUAUAUAUUUUAGGAGUUUUAGCAUACAUGUGUUGCACAUGUAUAUUACAUUAAAAGAUUUAUAGAAGAAAGAAAAUUAAAAAGUAGCAAUUAAACUCAAUUAACAUAAAUGCAAAAGGUUUAACUAAUAUUGAUAGUGUAACCCUUUUUACUAGACAAUAUCUUGUUACAAACCUAAUUUUAAACUCUUGUUUGUAGUUUUUUAAACACUGCCUUCACUAAUUGCUCAUUCUUUUUUUCUUCUCAAACCUGAACCUAAAAAGAGAUGAAAAGCAAAAGGAAAAGAAAAAGCACUAAUAUUAGGAAUUUGACACAUAAUCUAUAAUUAAGACUUCAACAAUUUAAGUUUCUAUCUAACAUGAAAAAAAUAACAGUUUGAUACCAAUUAGAAUGGGCUAGACAAUAUUGUUGAAUCACAAAAUCAUUGAUUAAGAUGAUAAAUUAUGCGCUCUCUUGCUUGGAGCUUCAAAUUGCAGUUAUACUAAAUCAAGACAAUUAAUUGUAUCCUUUUUCACUCUCUUCUUUAAUUUUUGCAACACGUUAUGAAUUAAUUUGUAAUUUUUUGUAUUCUAUUGAAUAGAUCUCGUAAACAAAAAAAUGAAACGAAAGGACAAAACACUUGGUGAUGUAAAUGGAAACAUUCUGCAGUGAUUAUUCAAAAGAAGACUAUUUUCUUUUUCCAUAAAUAAAAUUAAAAAUAUCACAGCUUGGUGAUGCAAAUGAGGCCUAGAUCCAACAAAAUCAAAUAACUAGAUCACUUGAUAAUUCAUAAAACCCUAAGAAAAGUACAAUCAGACAUUCAUAGAAGUGAGUGAGUACUUACAUCUAAUUCUGAGACCAAUUGAGCUUGGGGAUCUCUUUUUCUUCUUUUAGCUAAUAUUUUUCCAUUUUCUCUAGCUGGUGCGGCUGCUCUUUUUUCUUGUGGUUUUAUAUACUAGGUUUAGGGGUAGUAUGGUCUAUUUCUUCUCUUUUGGAUCUAAUCUUCUUAAAGUAUCCUAAUAUGGAUUUUGGAUCAGAUUAAAAAAUUUGUAGAGAACGAAUGUUAUAUGAAUUGUGGAUAAGAUAAAAAAAUUUGGGGAGGAAGAGUGAAGUAUUCUC
rnacentral:lncRNA from 1 species